CAGGGUUCGGUGGGCUGCCGUCCUCAGGCUGCCGGCUCUGUGGUUCCCAGGGGCAAGAUGAAGAGGAUCGCCUUCCAGUUCACGCCCUACAGCUGGGUUCGCUUCGAGUGGAAGCCGGCCUCCAGCCUGCGUCGCUGGCUGGCCGUGUGCGGCAUCAUCCUGGUGGUAAGGCCGGGCUGCCUCGCGAUGGCGCGGCGGGCUGGGAGCCAGAGCUGGUGCUCACCCUCUCCUCCCCUAGUUCCUGUUGGCAGAACUGAACACGUUCUACCUGAAGUUUGUGCUGUGGAUGCCCCCAGAGCACUACCUAGUCCUCUUGCGGCUCGUCUUCUUCGUGAAUGUGGGUGGCGUGGCCAUGCGCGAGAUCUACGACUUCAUGGAUGACCCGAAGCCCCACAAGAAGCUGGGCCCGCAGGCCUGGCUGGUGGCGGCCAUUACGGCCACGGAGCUGCUCAUCGUGGUGAAGUACGACCCCCACACGCUCACCCUGUCCCUGCCCUUCUACAUCUCUCAGUGCUGGACCCUCGGCUCCGUCCUGGUGCUCACCUGGACCAUCUGGCGCUUCUUCCUGCGGGACAUCACCUUGAGGUACAAGGAGACCCGGCGGCAGAAGCGGCAGAACAAGGAUGACCAGGGCAGCGCCGUCAGCAACGGGGACCAGCACCCGCCGGGGCUGGACGAAGACCUGCUGGGGCCUGGG
rnacentral:sRNA from 1 species